rnacentral:rRNA from 1 species
GUCCACGCAGUAAACGAUGAGUGCUAGUUGUCGGGACUUUGGGUCUCGGUGGCGAAGUUAACACGAUAAGCACUCCGCCUGGGGACUACGGUCGCAAGACUAAAACUCAAAGGAAUUGACGGGGACCCGCACAAGCAGUGGAGCAUGUGGUUUAAUUCGAUGCUACGCGAAAACCUUACCAACCCUUGAAUCCCAUUGACCGCUACAGAGAUGUAGUUUUGGAGCAAUCCACAGUGGAGACAGGUGUUGCAUGGCUGUCGU